rnacentral:rRNA from 1 species
AUUGAACGCUGGCGGAAUGCUUUACACAUGCAAGUCGAACGGCAGCACGGGGCAACCUGGUGGCGAGUGGCGAACGGGUGAGUAAUACAUCGGAACGUGCCCAAUCGUGGGGGAUAACGUAGCGAAAGUUACGCUAAUACCGCAUACGAUCUACGGAUGAAAGCGGGGGAUCGCAAGACCUCGCGCGAGUGGAGCGGCCGAUGUCAGAUUAGGUAGUUGGUGGGGUAAAGGCUCACCAAGCCAACGAUCUGUAGCUGGUCUGAGAGGACGACCAGCCACACUGGAACUGAGACACGGUCCAGACUCCUACGGGAGGCAGCAGUGGGGAAUUUUGGACAAUGGGCGCAAGCCUGAUCCAGCCAUUCCGCGUGCAGGAUGAAGGCCUCGGUUGUAACUAGCUUUGUACGGUACGAACGGCGAGCUCUAAUACAGUUUGCUAAUGACGGUACCGUAAGAAUAAGCACCGGCUAACUACGUAGCCAGCAGCCGCGGUAAACU